CCCUAAAACAGGGCAAAGUAUCAAUCUCAUUAACGGUAUGGGGUGAUUUCAGACCUAGUGUGACCAGGUGCAACUCCACUGAAGUCAAUGGAUUGACACCUGCGUAGAGGUUGGAAUUUGCUCAGUGACAACAUAAUCUCACCCACACUGAGAAGACAGAGGAACCAGCCAUUAGACUUUGGGAAGGGUUCUGACCUGAGAAUGUGGUUGCCCUAUUGCUGGGAACAUGUGGUAAGGAUUUCACCUUGAACUGAGUCUAGUUUGGGGAGAAGCAUUACCAAGUGUGAAAUACUAGUUCACCACCAGAGGUGUUAGCUUCUCCCCAAAAAAAUAAGGUCUACAGACAUCAGAGAAGCCACUGUGGACAAAAGACUGUUGAUUGCUUCCCCCACAGCCCUGGAGAGGGUACGUGCCCAAACCCUCAUCCCAUCACACCUUGAACACUGGAGCAAGGGAAUAAAAAUAUUUAUUCUAUUUGAACACUGAGGGGUGAGGAUUUCUAAGCACUUGCAAGGAGUUCCCAGUUCUUUUGCCUGGAUUGGCCCUAAAAUAUAUGCAGUCAGCUUACUGUCGAAGUUUCUAUCACCUUUCUUUUACUAUAACUCAUUUGUGUAUGUACGCUUACCUGCUGUAAACUUGUCAAU